GCCCAGCAGCACACCAAUCUUUCUCAUGGACGCACGGACAUGCCUGCUUUCUCGGGCGUGCUAGGCGCUAUCCCUCCUGAGCCGCCACAACCACCGCCUGCUAGCGCAGCCAGCAAGCCGCUUGCCACGCGCGCGACGUCGUGUUUGGCCCCCACCGCCGUUCGGCCGCCUUCCCCGCCGCCGGUCCGCCUACUCUUCUUCGCUAGACUGCUCCCCUUCUCCAUUGAUCACUUGCUCCACUACACGCAAGACGCAACCGUGCAUGCGGCCUGCUAGUGCCUAGCUUCCUCCCCCUCUCUAUGCGCGCCACUCCAGGCGUCGAGCUCGCCUCUGCGGGACCGUAGCCCCCACCCCUCAUUGGCUCUCUGCGCGAGCGUGAUCGCGCUUCCGCAUCCCAUGUUCAAUGGAGCCCUAAAGGUUGUGCUUCUACGAAGAUCCAAAAUUCCUUGGACCAAAAGCUUCAGCUUCCAAUAGUUGUUAAGGGCCUUGUACUGCGAACUCUGGACAAAGUUUCAUGCUGCUACAAAGUGCUCUGCAUACCUCGUGAGUGUUUAAUCAAUCUCGGUGCUGAUUUGUUAGUUGUCUUUGAGAGGGAGUUGCCGAGCUUUCUCAACAAUAGCGAUCGUGGAAGGCGUCAACCAGAUUGUGGAUGUUGAAACUAUUCUAUCUACUUUUGGAUCUAAGUUAUAGGAUAUUUAAACAUUUUUAAUGUUUGAUACCUGGAUGCUUUAUGCUUUAGUUAUAUGUGGAUGCUAGAAAAAGUUGUGUACACAUGUUUUUGACAAAAUUGUACACACGAUUUGGAUUGCAUUCAAUUGAAUGAUCGUUUUAUUAA